GUAAGGAACCCAGCUUCUGUGUGGUGGGCACUGAGAGCAGAACCGCAUUGAGUCGAAGUGGAGCACGGAAGUGAGUCCCAGGACACCGGAACCAGGACUCCCCGGCGCGCCCGGAGAGUUUCCGAGCUCGUUUGAAGUAUGAAUUAGAACUUCUGGAUGGGAAUCCUGGAGCCACCACCUGCCCUAUGGUCGCAAUGGGCAAGUCACUCAACCUCCCAGAUCCUGUUUUCUCAUGAGUAAAACGGGGAUUAUAAUAUCCACCUGACAAUAUUAUUUUUGUGAGAAUUAAAUGAGUUUAGAAUGUAAA
rnacentral:antisense_RNA from 1 species